rnacentral:pre_miRNA from 1 species
UUGAUACUUCCUUCGUUCGGAAUUACUCGUCCAAAAAAUAAAUGUAUCUAGAUGUAUUUUAGUUGUAGAUAUAUCCAUUUUUGUGACAAGUAAUUCCGAACGGAGGGAGUACUUA